AUACGUGUAGGGUGGAGAUGCACAACCGUCGGACCGUGUAGUACCGCGUCGCGGCAGCAAGCAGCCUCAGGCACUUCUGCCAUGCCGGUCUUGAACAAGACGCUCAAGGGCGUCCACGCCAGACGAUUGAUUCCUCCUCCUGACUGAGUGCUUUUGACACCACAGCAAGCAGGACGCGUCGUCGCGGUUCCGCCCCUGUUGGGCAGAUAUCGCUGGACACUGCAGUGGCCUAGGCCCUGUUGACGCACCUGACACCGACCGUGAGAAGUCGUGUGUGCCGAACGCCGUUUCCGGCAGCCCGGAAACCGA
rfam:Pseudomonas rhizosphaerae strain DSM 16299, complete genome.